rnacentral:rRNA from 1 species
UACGUGGGGUGCAAGCGUUGUCCGGAAUUAUUGGGCGUAAAGAGCUCGUAGGCGGUCUGUUGCGUCCGCUGUGAAAACCCAGGGCUUAACCCUGGGCUUGCAGUGGGUACGGGCAGACUAGAGUGCGGUAGGGGUGACUGGAAUUCCUGGUGUAGCGGUGGAAUGCGCAGAUAUCAGGAGGAACACCGAUGGCGAAGGCAGGUCACUGGGCCGCAACUGACGCUGAGGAGCGAAAGCAUGGGGAGCGAACAGG